ACGGCUCAGUAACACGUGGAUAACCUACCCUCAGAUCUGGGAUAACUCCGGGAGACUGGAGAUAAUACCGGAUAAUCCGUGAACGCUGGAAUGCCUCACGGUUGAAAGCUUUAGCGUCUGAGGAUGGGUCUGCGGCCGAUUAGGUAGUUGCUGGGGUAACGUCCCAACAAGCCUAUAAUCGGUACGGGUUGUGAGAGCAAGAGCCCGGAGAUGGAUUCUGAGACACGAAUCCAGGUCCUACGGGGCGCAGCAGGCGCGAAAACUUUACACUGCGCGAAAGCGCGAUAAGGGGACCUCGAGUGCGUGCGCAAUGCGUACGCUUUUCAGAUGCCUAAAAAGCAUCUGGAAUAAGGGCCGGGCAAGACCGGUGUCAGCCGCCGCGGUAACACCGGCGGCUCAAGUGGUGGCCGCUAUUAUUGGGCUUAAAGGGUCCGUAGCCGGACUAGUUAGUCCCUUGGGAAAUCUUACGGCCUAACCGUAAGGCUGCCAAUGGAUACUGCUGGUCUUGGGACCGGGAGAGGCAAGAGGUAUCUCAGGGGUAGGAGUGAAAUCCUGUAAUCCUUGAGGGACCGCCAGUGGCGAAGGCGUCUUGCUAGAACGGGUCCGACGGUGAGGGACGAAAGCUAGGGGCACGAACCGGAUUAGAUACCCGGGUAGUCCUAGCCGUAAACGAUGCGAGCUAGGUGUCACGUGGAUUGCGAAUCCAUGUGGUGCCGUAGGGAAACCGUGAAGCUCGCCGCCUGGGAAGUACGGCCGCAAGGCUGAAACUUAAAGGAAUUGGCGGGGGAGCAC
rnacentral:rRNA from 1 species